GAUCCUGGCUCAGGAUGAACGCUGGCGGCGUGCUUAACACAUGCAAGUCGAACGGAGUUUAGAUGAAAGCUUGCUUUGACUAAACUUAGUGGCGGACGGGUGAGUAACGCGUGGGUAACCUGCCUUAGUACAGGGGGAUAACAGUCGGAAACGACUGCUAAUACCGCAUAAGCGCACGGAAUCGCAUGAUUCAGUGUGAAAAGAUUUAUCGGUAUAAGAUGGACCCGCGUCUGAUUAGCUAGUUGGUGAGGUAACGGCCCACCAAGGCGACGAUCAGUAGCCGGCCUGAGAGGGUGAACGGCCACAUUGGGACUGAGACACGGCCCAAACUCCUACGGGAGGCAGCAGUGGGGAAUAUUGCACAAUGGGGGAAACCCUGAUGCAAGCGACGCCGCGUGAGUGAAGAAGUAUUUCGGUAUGUAAAGCUCUAUCAGCAGGGAAGAAAAUGACGGUACCUGACUAAGAAGCCCCGGCUAACUACGUGCCAGCCGCAGC
rnacentral:rRNA from 1 species